GUGGGGAAUUUUGGACAAUGGGCGAAAGCCUGAUCCAGCAAUGCCGCGUGCAGGAUGAAGGCCCUCGGGUUGUAAACUGCUUUUGUACGGAACGAAAAGCCUGGGGCUAAUAUCCCCGGGUCAUGACGGUACCGUAAGAAUAAGCACCGGCUAACUACGUGCCAGCAGCCGCGGUAAUACGUAGGGUGCAAGCGUUAAUCGGAAUUACUGGGCGUAAAGCGUGCGCAGGCGGUUUUGUAAGACAGUGGUGAAAUCCCCGGGCUCAACCUGGGAAUUGCGCUUGUGACUGCAAGGCUGGAGUGCGGCAGAGGGGGAUGGAAUUCCGCGUGUAGCAGUGAAAUGCGUAGAUAUGCGGAGGAACACCGAUGGCGAAGGCAAUCCCCUGGGCCUGCACUGACGCUCAUGCACGAAAGCGUGGGGAGCAAACAGGAUUAGAAACCCGAGUAGUCC
rnacentral:rRNA from 1 species